AGCUGAAACUUAAAGGAAUUGACGGAAGGGCACCACCAGGAGUGGAGCUUGCGGCUUAAUUUGACUCAACACGGGACAACUCACCAGGCCCGGACACCGUAAGGAUUGACAGACUGAUAGCUCUCUCUUGAUUCAGUGGGUGGUGGUGCAUGGCCGUUCUUAGUUGGUGGAGUGAUUUGUCUGGUUUAUUCCGAUAACGAACGAGACUCUGGCCUAUUAAACUUGACACUGUCCGUCUCUUGUGACGGCGGUGCGCUUCUUAGAGGGAUCAUCGGCGUCCCAGCCGAAGGAAAGGGAGCAAUAACAGGUCUGUGAUGCCCUUAGAUGUUCUGGGCUGCACGCGUGUUACACUGAAGUGGUCAGCGCGCCGUUCAACACCCCUCUCCGUGAGGAGCUUGGGCAAACGUUUGAACCCUUUUCGUGAUGGGAAUUGGGGGUUGCAAUUGUCCCCCAUGAACGAGGAAUUCCAAGUAAGCGCAGGUCACUAGCCUGCGUUGAUUAAGUCCCUGCCCUUUGUACACACCGCCCGUCGCUACUACCGAUGGAUGAUUUGGUGAGGUCGCCUAGACUGGCUGCUGGCUUCGGCCGUGCGGCCGGGAAGACGCCCAAACUUGGUCGUCUAGAGGAAGUAAAAGUCGUAACAAGGUUUCC
rnacentral:rRNA from 1 species